GUACAGAAAAUAGAUUUAAUGCUGCUCAUCCUAUGGCUACCAGAAAGAGAAAAUAGGAAAGGUUUUUUUUUUUACGUUAGUUAAAGUCUUGUGACUUACUAGGUUAACUAAUUUUAUAGUGUAUGGUUUGCAGACAUAACAUCAUUAACUAAUAUGGUUUGUUAUAUAUGUUGAGAACACAAUACAUUUUCAUCCUUGGAAAUUUAAUAUAUAGUCUUAUUUUUUAUUUUAAAUUUUAAAAAUCACUUGCUAAUAAUAUACUAGCUUUACUCAGUUGGGAAGUUUAGAAGAAUGUAAUUUCUAAAAUGAUGCCAUUAUAAAAUUAAUAUUUCUGUAUGCUAUCCAAUGGAUAUCUAGAUCCACACAGAAAAGAAAUAACUUUUAAUGUGUUAUUCAUCACACUAUAUUAAAUCAUAAAAUAUUUUCAUAAAUAAUCACAAUCUGCAAUCAACUGAAAACUAAGGAUCUAAAUUAAAAUUUGCUAAUGGAGUAAGGCAUAUUAAGAACCUCAAGGAAGAAAACUGCUGGGCACUAGUUUAUUACUUCCAGUUUCAUUAAUUGCUGACCAUCUUUGGUUGGUUCAUGCUCCCCAAGAUAACUGAGGAAACGGCACAUAAUACAAAUAAAUUGAGCAAACAGAAAUCCUUAACUUCCUGCUAGGUGUUCUUCAUCAGUGUUAAUUCCUAGAGCACCAAACACAACACAAAUAUUCCAAAAUGCUAAAGAGGAAAAAUCUAAACUCUACAUUCAAAUGAAUGAAUUACAUAGAACAAUAUGCUUUGAUAACAUAUCAAAGCAAUGGCUAGUUUCAACAAAACAGCCAGUAAAAUCAAAGAAAAAGUUAAAGCUAUGAAACUUAAUUGAAAGUAACUGUUUAGUUUGUAUCACUUGAAUUGUUUCACUAUGUUAGAAUGUUAAGGGCAAUGUGUGUUGGUAUGGUUUGGUCUUCAUGGGUUUGCUCUGUUCUAAAAGAAUAAGGAAGUUAAUACAUUAGAUCUCUACACAUGAUAGAAACAAACGAAUAACCCUUUGGAAAGAAGAUUUUAAGUAUUUGUGAUCCAAAGAAUAAUAAGUAUUAUACUCAAUAUUGUUUUUGGUUCUGAAUUAUGACUCACAAGGAGCUGGAAUAUUUGUGUGUGCGGUAAGAUUACUGGACGUGAAUACCAGAGUUCCAGAAGCAACUCAUCAGACCCAGGGAGAGGAAAUGGUAAAGGGAAAAAGAAAAUGUGAAGUUCUUGAAAAAUAUGAUGGACUGAUACUGAUGAAGAGGAAGCUUUGACAGAAAAAUAAACACAGUAGGGUGGUAGAAUAGACUCAUCAGAAAUCUAAAUUCAGAAUUCAAGAACAUCCUUUAUAUUCCUAGAAUGUUGAAAGAGACCUCAACAAAGAACCCAAGUAUUUACUCCCUAACCAGAAGAAAUGAACCACUCCUUGGCAUGCAUCAGAAUUACCCAGGAACUUGUCUUAAAAUAUACUCUCUCUGGCUCCACCUGGAGUGAUUCUCAAUUAUUCUGUGAUGAUGCUUACAGUUCUGUGUGUUCACUCUGAAAACUGUCUUGCUGAGGGCCCCGACACUGAGCCUUCAGGCUUUGUCAUUGUCACAUAAUUCCUAAUAAACAACCAAACAAGAAAUCGCUUGAG